AGCCACACUUUCACUGAAACAAGGGGAAGACAUUUUGGCAGCAGUAGAGAAUCUUGUGCAAUGGGUAAACGCUUGACACAGGGUUUCACACUGAGGUCUGUCUAACUAAGUGCCAGCAGACGCCCUAUACUAGAUCAUCACGCGGGCCAGAGCGGUCAUUAGAUGAUGGUUGAGGCCGUCGUCAGAUAACAAUAAAUGUUAUCCUUAACCCUAUUAUGGAUUAAGUCAGGUGUCAUGGUCUUUAUGGAAUGGGAUAUUAUGCGCUACAUUCUCCUAUACAAUAUAUACACAGUAAAUUAGGAGGCGGAGAUUCUCUGAAACGGGAAUCUUAAGUAGGAUUUGAUAGUAAUCGGGAAGUAGAGCGUUCCGGUGAACUCUAACCCAGUGUUAGCACAAAUCGCCCGUCGUCCCCUUCAAGUUAAGGAUACGAGACGCCCCGCCAAUCUACAUUAAGGCGGGGUUAUCCCUCCUUUUCGAGAAUGGGUAAGUCGUAACAUAGUAAGGGUAAGGGAACUUGUUCUUGGGCCAAGCUGCAGGCUACGUUCAAUACGUACUUGGCCGCCCUCUUGUAGCUUCGCAGU
rnacentral:rRNA from 1 species